CGAGACCUCCACUGAGACCACAUUGAGGUCGAGAUGCUCAACAUGGGGGCUUUGCUGCUGUUACUAAUCAGUGUGACUGAUGAUCCGAUGGCCUUCCCUCGCCCCUAAUUACUAUUGGAGAGGUGUGAAGACCUUCUGCGACGCCACACAGGAAGAAUACACAGCCCGGUGCUUCGGCUCCCUGGGAGGAACCCUGGAGGUCAAGCUGUCCAAGACCUCAAGGCCUUUCAAUAUGAAGUGAAGCAAAACAAUGUUCUGAUUGUUCUUUCGACCCUCAGAUAUUAAACCCUCGAUUUUCAAUCACUUAUUCCUAGAAUAUUAACUGUAAAGGACCUCAACAGGUCGGACAAUGGUGAAUACUCAAUGCGUGACAUAUUUGGCUUAAGAAGAACAACAAAUUAUUUUUAUUUAUCCAUUGAAGCCCCGGUCUCCUCUCCCCUCCUGUCCCGGGAGUGUCUGUCCCGGGGACAGCAGAGGGUGUCCUGCGCUGCCGAGGGGGACGGACCCCACUACAGCUGGAGUCUAGACCGACUCCCGCUGAACGCCACGCGUCUCCUCUCUGGACACAGUAACGCUAGUGACAUCACUCUGGAGCCGGGCCUGUCGGGGCUGAUCACCUGCUCGGUCCGCAACAACGUGAGCGCAGCCGCGGCUAACCUAGCCCUGUCUGUGUGUGACCACCCCAUCCCUAUCGUCGCUCGUUAUCUGAUGGUGGUGGGGCUGCUGCUAGUAGCAUUGGGAGUCUACUGGGCACUGAAGAAAAAAAGAAAACUUCAAGACCUCAAGACAUCCCGCUGUCCUCCAUGGCGACCGGGGGAGCAGGGGAGUGAGGAGGAGAACGGCUGUUCCAGGUGGCUCCAGGCCUCAGGCGGACGCUGGAAGCUAAAGGGCGUCCUAUCCUAGCUGUCUCUGUUGUAUACAGGGAAUGGGUUAACCUAGUGAUUGUAAGUGCUUGUCACUUGGUUCUCUGAACAUCCUUCUGUACUGACAGCGAUAUAUACAGUUUCUAAGUCGCUUCGGAUACAAGCGUCUGCUAAAUGCCCUAAAUGUAAAUGUUAAUGUAAUUUUUUCAAUUAAUUAAUUAAAUUGAUAGCAUAUCAUAUUGAUUGAAUUUUUUUACUUUGCCUUUGUUUUCUUAUAUUUAUCUAUUUUAUUUUAUUAUUUCAUUUUAUUGUAUGGCAAUGUGUUUAUGUGAGGUACUUUGAGUCCGCCUCGUGUAUAUAAGUGCGAUAUAA
ensembl:lncRNA